rnacentral:rRNA from 1 species
ACUGCCAGUGAUAAACUGGAGGGAAGGUGGGGAGUGACGUCAAGUCAUCAUGGCCCUUACCGACCAGGGCUACACACGUACUACAAUGGCGCAUACAAAGAGAAGCGACCUCGCGAGAGCAAGCGGACCUCAUAAAGUGCGUCGUAGUCCGGAUUGGAGUCUGCAACUCGACUCCAUGAAGUCGGAAUCGCUAGUAAUCGUGGAUCAGAAUGCCACGGUGAAUACGUUCCCGGGCCUU